CCAGCAGGGAAGGAUCUCUUUUGGUGAUCCCUCCUUUGGAGUUUUGCAGCGAGCCUAGGAUGUAGGUGACCUCACAGACAAUACACUUUUGAAGAGAAGGAAUCUUCAAGGUGAAGAAACAAGCCUUCCAGGACAUCAGAAAAACUGUGGGUGAAAUACCUUCUACUUCCCCAGUGAGAUCAUCAGGAAAAAUUUCUCACAUGCUUCAGUCUGUGCUGCAGCAUUACUGUAUUGUAGAUUUAGUUAGUGAUCAAACAGAAAUUUUAUAUGUGAAUAUUAGGUUUCAUAUAAAACACUCAUAACAUACUGCUGUUUUUUUUUGUAAUGGUCUGACAAGUAGGACUUGACCUGAAAUGGUCACAUUGUGAUAAAAAGCUACUUAUCCUACUUGUUGCAUUCCCAACUGCAAUGCAGCGCUGCACAGAAUAUUAUCUCAGGUUGUGUUGUUUUCAAAAGAGGUUACUCAACGCAUCGUGUUACCCCAUCUAUACUUUGUUUCAUAGCAGCAUUUCAGAGCAUUCUUUAUUCAGCUAAUCUUUGGUAAAAGGAAUUUUCCAUCAGAGGAGAAGUUGUUGAAGCCGCUCUUUUGAAUGCAUCAACAUGUCUAAGACACUGCAUUUGCUUAUUUAUCUGACAUUGCUUAUGUCUGUAAACAGCUUUUGUAUCUUUUUCUUCUGGGAGUAGAUGAUGUAUACUGUGUACUCAAUGCAGGCAUUUCACUGUCCAUCACUUACAAUUUUUGAUCCAUUUUAGCAUUUGGUUUCCUAUCACUAUAAUGUUAGAAUGUUAUAAUGAAAGCCUAAAGCUUUUAGUACUAUCUGUUUGGUAGCCUAGUUGGUUAAUUUAUUCUUUUUUUUUAAAUCUGGAUGAACUAUUGCCACCAAAAGAACAGUUUAUGGAAUAAAUAGCUAAAAAUAUAGCUUUGAUGGAGGCUAUUAAACAGUUUAAUCUUGGAAAUACCUUGCAACAUAGAAAACAUAGACAUGGUGGAGCAAUAUAGAAGGCGGCCACUUGAAUAAAUUCUAAUAUAUACUCACUGUAAUAUACUACUUCUCUUUAAAUUCUGUGGAAUACCUUCAUGAAAAUCUUCUUAUGAUGAUUAUUAUCUUACUCCAGGAAAAAAAAAAAACAAUUUCUGUAGAAUUUGAGAGGUAAUAUUACUCAGCUUAAAAAAAAAA